GAUGAACGCUGGCGGCGUGCCUAAUACAUGCAAGUCGAGCGAACAGACGAGGAGCUUGCUCCUCUGACGUUAGCGGCGGACGGGUGAGUAACACGUGGAUAACCUACCUAUAAGACUGGGAUAACUUCGGGAAACCGGAGCUAAUACCGGAUAAUAUAUUGAACCGCAUGGUUCAAUAGUGAAAGACGGUUUUGCUGUCACUUAUAGAUGGAUCCGUGCCGCAUUAGCUAGUUGGUAAGGUAACGGCUUACCAAGGCAACGAUGCGUAGCCGACCUGAGAGGGUGAUCGGCCACACUGGAACUGAGACACGGUCCAGACUCCUACGGGAGGCAGCAGUAGGGAAUCUUCCGCAAUGGGCGAAAGCCUGACGGAGCAACGCCGCGUGAGUGACGAAGGUCUUCGGAUCGUAAAACUCUGUUAUUAGGGAAGAACAAAUGUGUAAGUAACUAUGCACGUCUUGACGGUACCUAAUCAGAAAGCCACGGCUAACUACGUG
rnacentral:rRNA from 1 species